GCCAGAAAGCGUCGAUGUUCCGUCCAAAUUCCCCCUCCAAAAGCUGGAUGGCAGCGAAAAACCCUUCCGAAGGCCUCAUUAGGUUUGCCGUUGCCGUGUAUUUUUUUGCCUCCAGGAAGGGGUGGUCCUCACUUGUGGCGUAGCUGUGGUCCUGAUGUCUGGCACCCAACAACAGCACCUCACAGUGUGGACAGGCCUGAACAAUUUCCUCCUUUUGAAGGACCCGGACAAGCCAGCCAGCAACGUAGAACAGGCCCUCCUCCUGGAUGCAAUCGCCAACAGUCUACAACCCUAUAUGAUGUAGGUGGCGAAUGGCAUCCUUAAUGACGGUAGCAAUAUCAUCUGCUGGCAUUGAAGAUGGGGAAAAGAAGUAACCAACCGUCUGUUGAAAGAAAUGCCUUAGGACGAGCGUACACAUCCUCUCCACAGGGGUCAUGGUGGCGGCGAUGACUCCCAUUUGGGAGAUGAUUCCCUGUAGGAAGCCAGGCUGUCAGGAAAUAAAAGUUGUGCCCUAAUGAAGUUCCGGCAGCCCUCAGGACACCUCUGGAGCCUCUCCUCCAUAAUUUCAUGGGGACUACGAAAGAACAAGAGGUGGGGAGGCAACUGGUGGCGGGUUGUCGCAAUCCACCAGUGUGGGGAUGGCAUCUCUGGAAGCAUUCCUCAAAAUGCAGUUCACAGACAACGUAGCCCCCCUGCAUUAACUCCUCGUGUGACAUGGAGUGUCUGAGGUCACUUCGCCUCAUGUUUAUGAGCCAUUUCUUUCUCCUGAAAUAGAAAGCUGGAUUAGAAUCAUAAUUUUGGACCUUGAUGCUGUGACAACGGACAAGUCUUCUUCCUCUUUUAUUAUAUUGUUGUUCCUCGGUCCUUUUUUCCCUGCCUAUGUUCAGUGUUCAGUUCUCUUUUUUUUUUUUUUUUUUAUUAUUUACUAUGUUACUGUUCUUAUUGUGUUCUUGUGUGAUGUUUGAAUAAACUUGCCUGUUGCAAUGUUGGUAUGUUUGUAUAAUUACUGUUAUACAACUGUUACUGUUUCAACGUGUCCUAGACCAUACUUCUCAUUUAACAAACAUGUGUAGCUUAUAAUGUGUUGCAGGGCAGAGCAAUUAUAUUCAAUGGCUUAAAACAAACCCAUCUGUAAAGAUCACUGAAUGCAUAGACAUCAAUGACAAGUGGUGUAGA
ensembl:lncRNA